UAUGCAUUCGCGCACGAAAAGAGGGUUUCCAUUCUCCAUGAGAUUGAGGAUCGCGCAUUUAAACCACGUUCAGCGUGCUUACAACAUCUGCCACCUUCCAAGAUUCAACCUUCAAUUUUGCGAAAAAGGAAAUAAUGCAAAAAUGGAAAAUGAGGACAGUGGGUCGUUUAAAAAGGGUGCAAAAUCUAAUUCAACUUUGAUUUUAUAAAGCACGGCUAUGAUAGCCAUCCACUUCCUGUUUUGUAACAAUUCUCGUGUUGGCCGUUGCAGAAGCCAUUCUCAGUCGUGGAAUUAAUUCAACUAGCGAUUAGGUCUCUCUCUCUCUCUCGUUCUCUCUCUCUCCCUCUCUUUGUAGGUAGAAAAAGAUGCAGUAGGACCUCGAUAAUUGAUACCCUAGAAACUCUUCGGAUUUAAGGGGAAUCAAUUCAUUCUCCAGAUGAUUUUAAUGCUCGAAAAUAAAGGCGCACAAGGAGGGCGUUAGUGAAACUGUCAAUGGCAGAGCAAACUUCUUUCCUCAUGGAACGAUAAUUACGUAAGAGAAGAUCAAGAAUAAUUACAUAAUCAUUUUAUUAAAAAAGAAAAAAUCGGUACUUUUGGAUUUAAUAUAAAAUUCGAAUGAAAUAAUUCGUCUUUGAUGCUUGCCGAUCAUUUAAUAGUCGAUUCAUUAUAUAUUAAUAUUAAAAAAAAAAAAAAAAAAAAAAAAAAAAAAAAAUGAUUGUACUCACGUGACCUUUGAUUCUUGAAAAAUUACUGGUAGAAUAAUGUUGAGUGCACUUACCUGAAACAUAAAAAAUAUUAAGGUAUUACAAAGAGUUCAUUAUGUGCUAGAUCAAAUACAGCCUAGUCAUUGUUAGCUUUAUUGAUUUUGAAUCAUAAAGUAGAAUCAUCUCUUUUCUAUAUUACAACU